UGAAACUGUUUCCUGAGUAAAAGAAGAAAGAUGUGCCCAUGAAGGCCCUGAGUCAGGGCUGCCACGAAAGUGAGAGGGUGAUCAAUACGAAAUACUGUGGCUAAUGUUGCAGGCAGAAUUUGAUGAAGAGGAUAGUGAACAUCAAAAGGUAUACUGGAUGGAAUGCAAAGUUGUGAUUCAGAGAGCAAGGAGUGGAGGAUUAGGAAGUGUUUGAUUAGAAACAGCUCAAGGGGAUUGCCUGGAAAGUCUCAGUCUGUCUGUCUGUCUGUCUGUCUGUCUGUCUGUCUCUCUCUCUCUCUCUCUCUGUGGUGUGUGUGUGUGUGUGUGUGUGUGUGUGUGUGUGUGUGUGUGUGUGUGUGCACACUAAAGAAAAUACGAGAUAAAAGGGGC
rnacentral:lncRNA from 1 species